UACGGGGGGAGCAAGCGUUGUUCGGAUUUACUGGGCGUAAAGGGCGCGUAGGCGGCCACCGCAAGUCGACUGUGAAAUCUCCGGGCUUAACCCGGAAAGGUCAGCCGAUACUGCGGGGCUAGAGUGCAGAAGGGGCAACUGGAAUUCCCGGUGUAGUGGUGGAAUGCGUAGAUAUCGGGAGGAACACCAGUGGCGAAGGCGGUUGCCUGGAGCUUUGCUGACGCUGAUGCGCGAAAGCGUGGGGAGCGAUCCGG
rnacentral:rRNA from 1 species